CCUGCCUAGCCAGAGCGGUGACGGAAGUCCCUGGCUUCUCACUGUUCCUCACCCAAGCCAGUCAGGAGCUGCUUCUGCCAGAGAGAAGGGAGGCACUUUGGGGCUGUGUGGGGAACCAUUCCCAAGAACCCCGUGUCCCGAAGCUGGCAGGCACUCUCUGGCCCUGCUGCUGUCACUUAGGUGCCAUCCUCACUUGCAAAUGCAUCUGAGGAGAAGCCUCCACUCUUCUUGGUGCCUCCUUAAUUUAGGCCUCUCCUGAGCUUUGGCAAUGAGACUUUCUCCAGCCUGGCAGUGGGGCAUCACAUCUUCAACAUCUCAGGAGGUCUCACCUUCCAGAUGGCUGCUGAAUUUGCUGAGCUGUCCUCCCCUCUGGCAACAGGGCUCAUUCUAAUUCUGCAGGGGUAAGAUUUCAUUUGGUGGAGGAGGAGGAAGAACUAGGGUGUCUAAUUCCUGCAGUCUGAUGUGUUUUCUCAGGUGGCUGUCCACAGCCAAAUGAAUACAUGCUUCUUAGAUGAGCAACGAGACCCCAUGUUUCCCUUCUCCUGAGCUGACUGUCCUAAUCACUGAGCUUCCUCUUUUAUUUUGUGCCCUGUAGAUCAUUAUUUUUCUUUUCUUGGUGGCAUAUCUUGGAAACGAAGCUUGGAGGUGAGGGAUGGCAGAUGUAUCUGCCUCCAGGACAGAGCUAGAGAUCAUGGAUCAGUGGGGCACAGGGCCCUUCCAGAGCUCCUGUGUGGGGCACUGACCAAAAUCCCAUCGCUUUUGGGCUCUGGAUUUGGGCUGCUCUGCCAGGCACCCACACCUGCACAACACGCUGUUCCUUGUGCAAGUCCCGAGCAAAAGCCUCUAGCUCUUUCAGCUCAGGACUUCACCUUGCUUGGAGAAGGAUGCCAUGUGCUUUGCCAAGGAGAGCACGGAGCAGAGGCGCUUUGACUUUCUUUAGCGGCGACGUGCGGCCUUGUAACGACUCAAUCCCCAGUGGGGCUAACCCCAAGUCGCUGUUUGACUGGUAAAAGGAAACUGUCUGAAAUCCACUCAGUUAAAUAAGUGAAUUGGCAGUUUCAAGUGUUGCACCUUCUAGGUCCUUUGCCAGUUUUUGUGGCUUUGUGGGUUUAUAAUCGAAUUCUCAAAAUAUUAUCAAAAUAUUUUUCAUUUUGCUGUUGCUGAAGAGCAAGAAAUUCAUUCUGCGUGUCGAAGCAAGAAGUGCUAGGGCAGAAAGAAAAUUAUUGUGGUUCUCUAGUCCCUUUCAUUUAUAAUAGCUUUCUCUGUAACUUGCAAAAAGAGUAGGCUGCAUAUUUUCUCAGAAGUCUAUUUUUUUUCUAAAAAAACAAAAAAAAAAGUAUUGACUGUGACCUUUAAAAUUUCAGAACCAGGGGUCUCACUUUUGGAGAUGAUGUCAUUUGCCUUGAUCUUGCAAAGAGCUGUAAAGUUCAAACAUCAAUCCUAUUAAAAAGUUUUACUUUACUUUCAAUAUUGAGAAAGAAGUUUGUUCUGUGCCUGCACUAACACAGGCAUCUCCCAAGCUGCUGUGUUAGCUCUGCUGGACAGUAAGGAGCUUAGUUUUUUGAGUAUGUAGCUUGAAAUUCAGAGUCGGUAAUCCAUGAAGAAAAUCCAGUUGAAUUUUUCUGCCGAGGCACAAGCGUUCCUCCGAUGGCAAAGCACGGCUCUAGCAGGAGAAUCACAAGACCUAUGCAAUGAUGUGUGAAAUUGCAUGUGGAGCGGAAGCAUUUUCCCAGCGGCCAGAUCCCAGGGCCUGGGCUUCCUAAGGCAGCACGGGAACUUUGUACUGCAUCGCCAGCAAACAUUAAGCCCUUGUGC
ensembl:lncRNA